rnacentral:rRNA from 1 species
AGUGAACGCUGGCGGUAGGCCUAACACAUGCAAGUCGAACGGCAGCACAGUAAGAGCUUGCUCUUACGGGUGGCGAGUGGCGGACGGGUGAGGAAUACAUCGGAAUCUACUUUUUCGUGGGGGAUAACGUAGGGAAACUUACGCUAAUACCGCAUACGACCUACGGGUGAAAGCAGGGGAUCUUCGGACCUUGCGCGAUUGAAUGAGCCGAUGUCGGAUUAGCUAGUUGGCGGGGUAAAGGCCCACCAAGGCGACGAUCCGUAGCUGGUCUGAGAGGAUGAACAGCCACCAUUGGAACUGAGCCCGGGCCCGGACCCCGCCGGGGGGGGCCGGGGGGGAAUUUUGAACAAGGGGCGCAAGCUUGUCCCACCCUUCCCGGGGGGUGAAAAAGGCCCUGCGGUUUUAAAACCCUUUUUUUGGGAAAAAAAAACCGGCGGUUAAAUCCCCCCCUGUCUUGACGUUCCCCAAAAAAAAAGCCCGGGCUAACUUGGUC